GCCACAAAGAUGUUCUCAUUGUAGUGCUUCACCCUUUGACCAUUGACUAUGAAUUUCUUCCCUUCAUUGUCUUCUAACUCGACAACACCACUUGAGUAGACUUUAGAAAUAACAAAUAGUCUCGACCAUUAUGAGUGAAGUUUCCCCACGAAGAAGUUCAAAUGGGAGUUGUAGAGGAGUACCUGCUCUCCCUCAUGGAAUUUUAGCUGCAAUAUUCUAGAGUUACGCCAUUUCUUUAUUUUCUCCUUAUACAAAGUUGCACCCUUAUAAUCCCUUAGUCAGAACUCUUCCAUCUCAUGGAUUUGUUUUACCCGUGCCC
rnacentral:lncRNA from 1 species